rnacentral:rRNA from 1 species
GAUGAACGCUGGCGGCGUGCCUAAUACAUGCAAGUCGAGCGAACAGACGCGGCGCUUGCUCCGCUGACGUUAGCGGCGGACGGGUGAGUAACAAGUGGCUAACCUACCUCUCUGACUGGGAUAACUUCGGGAAACCGGAGCUCAUACCGGAUAAUCUCUUGAACCGCAUGGUUCAAUAGUGAAAGACGGUUUUGCUGUCACUUAUAGAUGGAUCCGCGCCGCAUUAGCUAGUUGGUAAGGUAACGGCUUACCACGGCAACGAUGCGUAGCCGACCGGAGAGAGUGAUCGGCCACACGGGAACGGAGACACGGUCCAGACUCCUACGGGAGGCAGCAGUAGGGAAUCUUCCGCAGUGGGCGAGAGCCUUACGGAGCGAGGCCGCGUGAGUGAUGAAGGUCUUCGGAUCGUAAAGCUCUGUUAUUAGGGAAGAACAAAUGUGUAAGUAACUAUGCACAUCUUGACGGUACCUAAACAGAAAGCCACGGCUAACUACGUG